rnacentral:rRNA from 1 species
GUACCCCGAGGAAAAGAAAUCAACCGAGAUUCCCCCAGUAGCGGCGAGCGAACGGGGAGCAGCCCAGAGCCUGAAUCAGUGUGUGUGUUAGUGGAAGCGUCUGGAAAGGCGCGCGAUACAGGGUGACAGCCCCGUACACAAAAAUGCACAUGCUGUGAGCUCGAUGAGUAGGGCGGGACACGUGGUAUCCUGUCUGAAUAUGGGGGGACCAUCCUCCAAGGCUAAAUACUCCUGACUGACCGAUAGUGAACCAGUACCGUGAGGGAAAGGCGAAAAGAACCCCGGCGAGGGGAGUGAAAAAGAACCUGAAACCGUGUACGUACAAGCAGUGGGAGCACGCUUAGGCGUGUGACUGCGUACCUUUUGUAUAAUGGGUCAGCGACUUAUAUUCUGUAGCAAGGUUAACCGAAUAGGGGAGCCGAAGGGAAACCGAGUCUUAACUGGGCGUUAAGUUGCAGGGUAUAGACCCGAAACCCGGUGAUCUAGCCAUGGGCAGGUUGAAGGUUGGGUAACACUAACUGGAGGACCGAACCGACUAAUGUUGAAAAAUUAGCGGAUGACUUGUGGCUGGGGGUGAAAGGCCAAUCAAACCGGGAGAUAGCUGGUUCUCCCCGAAAGCUAUUUAGGUAGCGCCUCGUGAAUUCAUCUCCGGGGGUAGAGCACUGUUUCGGCAAGGGGGUCAUCCCGA